rnacentral:rRNA from 1 species
AGUGAACGCUGGCGGUAGGCCUAACACAUGCAAGUCGAACGGCAGCACAGUAAGAGCUUGCUCUUACGGGUGGCGAGUGGCGGACGGGUGAGGAAUACAUCGGAAUCUACUUUUUCGUGGGGGAUAACGUAGGGAAACUUACUCUAAUACCGCAUACGACCUACGGGUGAAAGCAGGGGAUCUUCGGACCUUGCGCGAUUGAAUGAGCCGAUGUCGGAUUAGCUAGUUGGCGGGGUAAAGGCCCACCAAGUCGACGAUCCGUAGCUGGUCUGAGAGGAUGAUCAGCCACACUGGAACUGAGACACGGUCCAGACUCCUACGGGAGGCAGCAGUGGGGAAUAUUGGACAAUGGGCGGAAGCAUGAUACAGCCAUACCGCGUGGGUGACGAAGGCGUUCGGGUUGUAAAGACGUUUUGUUGGGAAAGAAAAGCAGCAGGUUAAGACCCCGCUGUUCUGACGGUACCCAAAGAAUAAGCACCGGCUAACUUCGUG